UAGCUGGAUCAUUAAGAGCUUACAUUCAGGAGAGCUCUUUCCUUUCAUAGAGAAAAACCAUUCCUCGCCUUUGCCAACAAACAAUAUUCCACAGGGUCCAAUUUCCAUGGAGUGGAGUGAAGAAAUAUGAAAUUUGCUUCUCACAUAGGAGCGUACAAUAUAAGUGCAAAGGUGUUGGUUAACAUUGGAAAAUAUAAAGACAAAUGCCAUGCUUCUCUUCCUAUGCUAUGUCCCCCCAUUGAAGAAAAAAGUAUAGGAUGCUUGAAAGCUUAAGCUGACAAAAACCAUUCAAAGAUUUGAUCUCUAUGAGUGACAUCAACUUAGGUUGAAGCCAGGCUUGCUCCAACUUCUCUGGCAGCCUGCAGCCUGCUUGCGCUCAAGAACAGCAGGGAGUCCUCCGGCCGACUGGAUCCCGUAAUAGUCGAGGCUCUAGUUUUCGGAGAAUCUACCUCCGGAUCACGUACACAUUACUCCAGUUUCUAAUGCUAAUAGCCGUGGAGCAUAAUCUCUUUCAUCUCUUCCUCACGUUUCAAGGUAUGGCUUAAAAGGGUGGAUCAGGUGCUGAUCGGCUUCCUGUUAAGGUCGUUUUUGUUCUCCUUAGAGAGGCCCGUUUAGCUUGGUGCCGGGGCCUGCACCACCAUUAGGCCGAAGGCCCCAAUUAAUGAACAUCAAUUAAGAAUAUCUUCAGUAUAUAUAUAUAUAUAUAUAUAUACAAAGCCCUAAUUACAGUCAAUGUUCUUUAAUUAAGGACCCUAAUUAUAUUAAAUCAGUAAUUAAAAAAAGGCAUUAAUAUCAUUCCAUUCUCUUAAAAACUUUGAUUAUCCAACAUUCCAAAAUUAGGCUUAAAAAAUUGAUAGGAUUAAAUAAGAGAAACAAAUAAUAUCAAAGACAUUCUUAAAUAGAACCCAUCCUCCAACGGACUGGGUCAUUUUUUGACUCAUUUCUUAUUGUUUGUAUUAUUUAUUAUUUGCUCUGUAAUUUUCGUUUUGGGUAUGUUGUUAGGGAGUCCACCCAUUUUCGGUGUUUUGAGUCCUAUAAACCUUUCCCAAUUUACUUAAAAGAAAAAAAAAUGGACAGUCAUUUUUAUAGAGGGAAUCUUU